GAUGAACGCUGGCGGCGUGCCUAAUACAUGCAAGUCGAGCGAACGGACGAGAAGCUUUCUUCUCUGAUGUUAGCGGCGGACGGGUGAGUAACACGUGGAUAACCUACCUAUAAGACUGGGAUAACUUCGGGAAACCGGAGCUAAUACCAGAUCAUAUUUUGAACCGCAUGGUUCAAAAGUGAAAGACGGUCUUGCUGUCACUUAUAGAUGGAUCCGCGCUGCAUUAGCUAGUUGGUAAGGUAACGGCUUACCAAGGCAACGAUGCAUAGCCGACCUGAGAGGGUGAUCGGCCACACUGGAACUGAGACACGGUCCAGACUCCUACGGGAGGCAGCAGUAGGGAAUCUUCCGCAAUGGGCGAAAGCCUGACGGAGCAACGCCGCGUGAGUGAUGAAGGUCUUCGGAUCGUAAAACUCUGUUAUUAGGGAAGAACAUAUGUGUAAGUAACUGUGCACAUCUUGACGGUACCUAAACAGAAAGCCACGGCUAACUACGUG
rnacentral:rRNA from 1 species